CAGUUGCCGCGGUAACACGAAGGGUGCAAGCGUUAAUCGGAAUUACUGGGCGUAAAGCGUGCGUAGGCGGUGAGUUAAGUCUGCUGUGAAAUCCCCGGGCUCAACCUGGGAAUGGCAGUGGAUACUGGCAAGCUAGAGUGUGUCAGAGGAUGGUGGAAUUCCCGGUGUAGCGGUGAAAUGCGUAGAGAUCGGGAGGAACAUCAGUGGCGAAGGCGGCCAUCUGGGACAACACUGACGCUGAGGCACGAAAGCGUGGGGAGCAAACAGGAUUAGAUACCCGCGUAGUCCCUGUCUCUUAUAC
rnacentral:rRNA from 1 species